rnacentral:rRNA from 1 species
UACGGAGGGUGCAAGCGUUAAUCGGAUUUACUGGGCGUAAAGCGCGCGUAGGCGGUUUGGUAAGUCGGAUGUGAAAUCCCAGGGCUCAACCUUGGAAUUGCAUUCGAUACUGCCUCACUAGAGUAUGGUAGAGGGAAGUGGAAUUCCGGGUGUAGCGGUGAAAUGCGUAGAUAUCCGGAGGAACAUCAGUGGCGAAGGCGACUUCCUGGCCCAAUACUGACGCUGAGGUGCGAAAGCGUGGGGAGCAAACAGGAUUAGAUACCCCGGUAGUCC